GUGCCAGCCGCCGCGGUAAUAUCGGCAGCACGAGUGAUGGCCGAUCUUAUUGGGCCUAAAGCGUCCGUAGCUGGCUGCGCAAGUCCGUCGGGAAAUCCACCCGCCCAACGGGUGGGCGUCCGGUGGAAACUGCGUGGCUUGGGACCGGAAGGCGCGACGGGUACGUCCGGGGUAGGAGUGAAGUCCCGUAAUCCUGGACGGACCGCCGGUGGCGAAAGCACGUCGCGAAGACGGAUCCGACAGUGAGGGACGAAAGCCAGGGUCUCCAACCGGAUUAGAAACCCGAGUAGUCC
rnacentral:rRNA from 1 species